GAAGGGGGCUAGCGUUGCUCGGAAUUACUGGGCGUAAAGGGCGCGUAGGCGGACAGUUUAGUCAGAGGUCAAAGCCCAGGGCUCAACCUUGGAAUCGCCUUUGAUACUGGCUGUCUUGAGUGCGGGAGAGGUGUGUGGAACUCCGAGUGUAGAGGUGAAAUUCGUAGAUAUUCGGAAGAACACCAGUGGCGAAGGCGACACACUGGCCCGUUACUGACGCUGAGGCGCGAAAGCGUGGGGAGCAAACAGGAUUAGAUACCCUGGUAGUCCACGCUGUAAACGAUGAGUGCUAGUUGUCGGCAUGCAUGCAUGUCGGUGACGCAGCUAACGCAUUAAACACUCCGCCUGGGGAGUACGGUCGCAAGAUUA
rnacentral:rRNA from 1 species